AGGAGGCUGCACCAGAUUGUCAGCAGCGGCUGGACCACAGAUUUCACCAUGUCGGAGGGAGCAGUGCCCAAGAUGAACCUGAACCUGGAGAUAUCUCCCUCGCAGCUGAGAAUCUCACUGAGCACCUCCAGCCCUGGGUUGGGGUGGGCUCUGGUCACUGCGGGUGUCCUCGGAGCUGCCUCCUUCUGGCUGUGCUGGGGAUGGGUUCGGGAGUCAUGGUCACCCCCGGCAGGAACAAGUAGGGUCACAGGAAGAUCCCCACCAAGGAGCAAGAUGACCCUCUAGUGCAUGAAGAGUCUGAGUCAUUCUUAUCCUGAUUUCUUAGGAAAAUAAAAUAAUAUCAGAUCCUGAGGUCUUGUCUGAUUCUUAGAGCCUAUGCAAGUCCUUGUUCUGAAGGAAUGGGUCAUCUUGGACAAGCAUCCUCAGGACUCUGGGUCUCAAUUUCCUUGCUUGGGCAAUGGGCUGAAUUGAUUGCUUUUCUCACAUCCCUAAGGAAAGGCUGUGAGGGGAAGUACUUUGAAGCCCGGGCUCCAACAGGUAUGGACUUUUUGGGCUCCUGUCAUGACUGAUAAAGCCUUGAAUGACUGGAAUACUUAUUCCCUUUUCACCCUGUAAUCUAGGGUUUCCUCCCACCUCCCACCUCCUUCCCUUGUUCUGCAACAGAGCCCAGGUGAGCACCUACAGAGCCUUUGCCCUCUUGAGACACCCUUUCAGCUCCAGGACUGGUCUGGUGGGGACUGCAGGACAGCCUCUGCACGAGGUGGCCCCAGGUUCCCAACAACUCCCUGUACCCCUCUGCACUCAUUUACCUCUGCCCACAAAGCUCUUCCUGGGUUCCAGCUGCUACAAUCUGUUCCACAUGUUAUCAGUUCUUGGGCAGCAUUUGAGCAAGCAGAGUGGCAGGGCGUGGGUGGCUGAAUUCAAGGUGAGGGAGCUAGAAUCCUCUACUGGAGGUUCUCUAUUCUUCAAGAGGAGGAGAGACCCCGUUUUAAAGGAGAGCAGGUGGGUAAGAACCCAGGAGGCUAUUUUCAGUUCAGGCACCAUCCUCCCUGGGACCAGCUAAUUGACAAGCUGGUCUCAUUAGGAGAUGGUAAGAAAAAAAGAGAAAAAAAUCCACCUUGACUUUGUCAUUGUAUAAUUCUUUCCAAAGGCAUCCUCAGCCCCAGGCUUUUCUGGGCAUAGAAUUGCAUGUUUAGUUUUGUUAAAAAAAAAAAAAAAGAAACAACGACCAUACACUGUGGAGAGUGGCGCACCAGUCUACAUUCCCUCCAGCAAUGAAUGAAUCCAGUGUUUGCUGUUAUUGCUGCUUCUUAUUUUAUCCAUUCUGAUUUUGGUUUUAAUUUGCAUCUCCCUAAUGGCCAGUGAUGUUGAACAUCUUUUCCUGUCUUUAUUUGCCACCCACAUAUCCCCUUUAAUGCAAUUUCUGUUGAUGUCUUUGUCCAGUUUCCUACAGCAUAGUUUGAUUUUUUAAAAUUGAUGGAUGGUAGUUUUCUUUAGGUGGUCAAGAUACCCGUCCUUUGUCGGGUCUGUGGUUUGCGCUGGUAAACUUUUGAGUCAUGCAUAUCUGCUUUUCUUCCUCUUCUUCGGGGAUAGAUUUUGGACUUGAGCUCGCCUCUGGCCGGGAAAGCCGAAUCUUUGGAGCAGGCUGCCAGGCCCAGGAGACCCCACCCUGAGCCAGCGCAGGGGAGAGUUAGCGCCAUUCCUGUCCUCAUUUCUCGGAAGCAGGCCGAGAAAUAUAAGGUCCUGGGCUGGGACCUCCUCUGACUCUUCCAGCCCUGGGAAGACCAGCUCCAUCCCUGAGAAGCCUGGAUUCUAGUGCAGCGGGAGGAUUGGGUGUCCUGGGGCCGGCCUCCUAGGUCGGGCCUCACUUUCCUUCUAGGGCCCGGAUGAUCAGACCCUCCGUGCAGCUGCGGCGAGGAAAGCUGUGGGGGAACGUGCUCUGUAACCAGAGAGCGCGACGCAAACGUUAAGGCCCUGGUGGCACCACCGGGGAUGUCUCCAUAAACCCCAGUUGGAACGGCUGACGCCGCCCUCAUUGCCGCCCUCAUUGCCAUCUCUACCCCAAUUGCCGGAGAGGAAGGACGGUUGAGUCGGGGUUGCAGCCCGAG
rnacentral:lncRNA from 1 species